CAUUUAUAUCUUUGCAUUUUUGCUUCUGUUGGUCACGGUUCGUCAUUCUGUCGAUGGUUCCACGGCACGUACUUUCUUCAUGGGACAUCACAACACGUCCAUCCAUUCAGUAGGUAACAAAUGCACUCAAUUUCACGUAAACCACCAUAAAAUAAGGAGAAAAAAUUCAUUAAUUCACGUUAAGAGGCAAUUUUUUUCAAUGUCACGUAUUUGCAAUGAAAAGUGUUCAAAACCUAGUAAAAUCUUUUUGGCGUUCCUCUCAAAAUUACUUUCUUUUAGCUUUAUUCUCUAGUUUAUAGAGUUAGCUACCUUUUUCAAUGCAUCUUCCGGUUGAGAAGCAUAAAAUAAUAAUCAAUAUUGCUUAAAAUUGGCGCCAUGCAUAUUUACAGCCAUAUAAGCAAAACUUACUGAACUUCAGACAUCAUUUUCUCUUUGGCGUAUCAUCUAAAAUCUCUUCAUUUUAGCAUUAUUUUACAGAUAAAACAUCAAAUAUACUUUUUAAGUUUGUUUGCCGAUUGAGUGGUAUAGUAUACGCAUUAGUUUUGAGCGCGUGUUACGUAACAUGCAAAAAAAUCUCUUAAUAAACAACUUACAAAAAAUAAAUGUUCAAUUUAAUUUUAAUUCCAAGUCGACAUAUUUAAAAUUAAGAACUUCAAUAUUAUUGCAACUCUUUGAUUGUGAAUAACACAAAUAACAUCGACAAACCGUACAUCUGUAUCUUUGGGUCUUCGCAGCUUCUGUUGGGCAUGUGUCGUCAUCUAUCACUCUACGGUAUGCUUGUCCCUUUGUUCUCUGUCUUUACAUGGCACAUCCAGUUUCCUUGACAUUACAUGCAUCCU